rnacentral:lncRNA from 1 species
CCAUCUUUAAUCUAACCAUAGGUCUAACCCAAUUAAUGGACCUAAUUCCCACUAACCCAUUAACCCAAUAUGUUAUGAUUUGUGUCUUAGGUUCUUCAAUUCACAAUCCUAGAACCUAAUCAAACAACUUCUUAAUUCUUAAUUAAGUUUUGGGCUGAGGGUUGGGUUUGGCUUUUCAAAAAAUAAUUUUCAUAUAUGUAAAAUAAUUUUACAAUAUGAUUCUACCAACCAUAUUGCAUGUUUGAUUCAUAAUCAAGAUACAAGUAAAAUAAACAUGAAACUACUUUAGAUCUAAUCUAAACAGGUUCAUGUAAUUGAAACAAUUUCAACUUUAAACAAUUUUUUUGCACAAAGAUUAUUAACAAAGAGAUUUUAUUUUAGAUUUAAACAUCUUUUAAGUCUAGUAAAUCAUAAAUUUAAUCUAGAUCAUAUCUAACAAAUUUAUGAUUAAAGAUAGAUCUACACAAAUUAGGACAACCUUUGCACUGUAAGGGGUAAACCUUACAGCAGGACAACCUUGCAGUUUGUGAUUGAUCUAAAAUUUUAAUUUCAGAUUUAAUAAUCAGAUUAUAAAUUAAAUUUAAUCUAAAAAAUAAUCUAAGCAUAUAUAAAUAAUCAUGUAAUAAAGAACCUAGGCUCUGAUACCAAUUGAAGGAACCAGAUCUAGGGUUUCAGGGUUAGAUCUUGAAACUUUAUCAAGAUCAUACAGCGGAAGACUAAAAUAAAUCAAAAUUUAUUUUUUAAAACUAGAGAAUC